ensembl:lncRNA
AAAAUACUGGUUUACAACACACUUGUGUUAUUUACCCCCUUACUGAAUCACAAUGGGGUGUUGUACGAUGGACUUUGUCCCAUUUGUGUGACAGAGAUACGGUUCCUCCAGUAUUAUCAGAGAAACAAAGCAGAAAAAGUCACAUUUGUUGACAUCUCACUUCCUGGUUAUGACGGAGGAGAGUUCGCAGGGGUCAGCUACGACACGGCCAUGGAUGAGAUGCACGUGAUUGAUGAAAGGGACCAGGUACACCGUGGGAUCCCAGCGUUCUCAGUCAUGUACGGCGCCGUCGGCCUGGGCUGGUUGGGGCGCUUCAUGAUGUGGGCCCCUUUGAGGCCCUGGAUGGACAAAAGCUACGCCAUCUUUGCCAGGAAUCGCCUGAAGUGGACUGGACGUGGGGAUGAGUGCCGUACCGAAGCUGUGCAAAGAAAACACGUUGAUCGUUUGGAUGGCAGUUCGACUAUUUAUGGGAUGGAUUACAAAACUGCUGGGCAUCUGCCACUAGAUGACAAUGAAGGUUGGAAAACAAGCUGUCGCAAUAAAAUGCUAGCAAAGUGAUGAAAUGUGUUUUUGAAGGAAUGCGUUUUCAAGAAUGACAACAUUUGAAGGCCUGAUGUUGAUUAUACUGUUGCAUUACCUUGGCCAACACAGAAUGGAAUCAACAACGUCAAAUCGCACCUUUGUAUGGUUUGUGCAAUAAAAACGUCAGUAAUGCUGUAA